rnacentral:lncRNA from 1 species
AAGACUGGUGUGGGAAGGGUCGCUUUGGAUGCACUUGAGCAGGGGUCCCCAACCCCUGAGCCAUGGAGCCGCAAGGAGCCACACAGCAGGAGGUGGGACCAUCCAGUUGCAGGAAAACAAGCUUAACACGCCCACUAAUUCUACAUUAUGCUCCUACCUCCCGGCAGCCUCUCCAGGCCCAGAACUUUCUCCAGUCAGCCUCUACAGACCAAGCUCAUGACUCACAAUGGCCUAUUUAGGCCCAUACCCUACGUCACGGCAGCCUCCGCAGAUGAGGCUACUGCCUCACAACAGCCUCCACAGGCACAGCUCCAUCGUUACAAUGGCCUCUUUAGACCCAGCUCCUGCCUCCCAGCCUUCUCUCCAGGCCCUGAACUUUCUCAAGUCGACCUCACCAGGCCCAGCUCAUGCUUCUUUGCAGCCUCUCCAGGCCCAGCUCCUGCAUCUUGGUGGCCCCUCCAGGCCCAGCCUCUGCCUCCCGUCGGCCUCUGCAGUCCCAACGUCUGCCUCACAGCAGAUUCUUCACGCCCAGCAUCUACCUCACUGUGGACCCCCCAAGCCAAGCUCCCAACCU